CGUUGUAAAACGACGUUAUGCAUGAACGUAAUGCUCAUAAUUUCCCUCUAGACCUAGCUGCGGUUGAGGCUCCAGCUAUUAAUGGAUAAUAUUUUAGUCUUAAAGUAUACGAGUUUUUGAAAGUAAAAGAGCAAUAGCAACAAAGUUGCUAUUGCUCUUUUACUUUCAGUAGUCUUUUUUUAUACAUAUUUCUAAAUAAAUUGUUGAUUUAAUGCGACGAACAAUAACGAAAGAAUGUAAAUCGAAGUCUAGAUCAUUUUUCCAUAAAAAUGGAGGGUAGGGGCGGGUGUACCCAAGUGGAUCAGGGGAGGGAAAAUGAAAACCCCCCCGC
rnacentral:misc_RNA from 1 species